rnacentral:rRNA from 1 species
CCUACGGGAGGCAGCAGUGGGGAAUAUUGGGCAAUGGAGGCAACUCUGACCCCGCAAUGCCGCGUGAGUGAUGAAGGUAAUUUUAUUGUAAAGCUCUUUUCUUUGGAACGAAUAAAUGACGGUACCAAAGGAAUUAGCUCCGGCUAACUACGUGCCAGCAGCCGAGGUAAUACGUAGGGGGCAACCGUUGUACGGCAUGACUGGGAGUAAAGGUUGUGUAGGUGGUUAGAUAAGUUAGAUGUGUAAUACCCAGGGCUUAACUCGGGUGCUGCAUCUAAAACUGGUAGACUUGAGUGCUGGAGAGGAUAGUGGAAUUCCUAGUGUAGCGGUGGAAUGCGUAGAUAUUAGGAGGAACAUCAGUGGCGAAGGCGACUAUCUGGACAGCAACUGACACUGAGGCACGAAAGCGUGGGGAGCAAACAGGAUUAGAUACCCGUGUAGUC